rnacentral:lncRNA from 1 species
GUUAAGAACUAAAAGAGAGUACUUGAUUAGUUCUUGGAAUUCGUAACAUUUGGAAAAGACCACCAAGUGAUUGAUGUGACGAUUGUUAAGUCCUAAUAAAGUCAAGGGACAAGUCAAGAUGUUUAAAAUAUGAAAUGUAUCUCUCUCCUUGGGAGAGCAAAACCAAGAAAAGAUAGGAAAGCUCAUCUAGGUUAAAUAU